GAUGAACGCUGGCGGCGUGCCUAAUACAUGCAAGUCGAGCGAAUGGACUAAGAGCUUGCUCUUAUGAAGUUAGCGGCGGACGGGUGAGUAACACGUGGGUAACCUGCCCAUAAGACUGGGAUAACUCCGGGAAACCGGGGCUAAUACCGGAUAACAUUUUGAACCGCAUGGUUCGAAAUUGAAAGGCGGCUUCGGCUGUCACUUAUGGAUGGACCCGCGUCGCAUUAGCUAGUUGGUGAGGCAACGGCUCACCAAGGCAACGAUGCGUAGCCGACCUGAGAGGGUGAUCGGCCACACUGGGACUGAGACACGGCCCAGACUCCUACGGGAGGCAGCAGUAGGGAAUCUUCCGCAAUGGACGAAAGUCUGACGGAGCAACGCCGCGUGAGUGAUGAAGGCUUUCGGGUCGUAAAACUCUGUUGUUAGGGAAGAACAAGAGCUAGUUGAAUAAGCUGGCACCUUGACGGUACCUAACCAGAAAGCCACGGCUAACUACGUGCCAGCAGCCGCAGUAA
rnacentral:rRNA from 1 species